GAUGAACGCUGACAGAAUGCUUAACACAUGCAAGUCGAUUCAAGUUACCUUCGGGUAAUGAGGAUGGCGGACGGGUGAGUAACGCGUAAGGAACUUGCCUCUUGGUCUGGGACAACUGUUGGAAACGACAGCUAAUACCGGAUAUUAUGAGAUUCUCGCAUGGGAAACUUAUGAAAGCUAUAUGCGCCAAGAGAGAGCCUUGCGUUCCAUUAGCUAGUUGGUGGGGUAAUGGCCCACCAAGGCGACGAUGGAUAGCCGGCCUGAGAGGGUGAACGGCCACAAGGGGACUGAGACACGGCCCUUACUCCUACGGGAGGCAGCAGUGGGGAAUAUUGGACAAUGGGCCACAAGCCUGAUCCAGCAAUUCUGUGUGCACGAUGAAGGUCUUCGGAUUGUAAAGUGCCUUCAGUUGGGAAGAAGAAAGUGACGGUACCAACAGAAGAAGCGACGGCUAAAUACGUGCCAGCAGCCGCGGUAAUACGUAUGUCGCAAGCGUUAUCCGGAUUUAUUGNGCGUAAAGCGCGUCUAGGCGGAAAAAUAAGUCUGAUGUUAAAAUGCGGGGCUCAACUCCGUAUUGCGUUGGAAACUGUUUUUCUAGAGUACUGGAGAGGUGGGCGGAACUACNAGUGUAGAGGUGAAAUUCGUA
rnacentral:rRNA from 1 species